rnacentral:rRNA from 1 species
GAUGAACGCUGGCGGCGUGCCUAACACAUGCAAGUCGAACGAAGCUACAUUUUACGAUCCCUUCGGGGUGACGAAUUGUAGACUGAGUGGCGGACGGGUGAGUAACGCGUGGGCAACCUGCCCUAUACCGGGGGAUAGCAGCUGGAAACGGCUGAUAAUACCGCAUAAGCGCACAGAGAGACAUCUCUUGGUGUGAAAAACUCCGGUGGUAUAGGAUGGACCCGCGUCUGAUUAGCCAGUUGGUGAGGUAAAGGCCCACCAAAGCGAAGAUCAGUAGCCGACCUGAGAGGGUGACCGGCCACAGUGGGGCUGAGACACGGCCCAAACUCCUACGGGAGGCAGCAGUGGGGAAUAUUGCACAAUGGGCGAAAGCCUGAUGCAGCGACGCCGCGUGAGUGAUGAAGUAUUUCGGUAUGUAAAGCUCUAUCAGCAGGGAAGAAAAUGACGGUACCUGACUAAGAAGCUCCGGCUAAAUACGUGCCAGCCGCCGCAGUAA